rnacentral:rRNA from 1 species
AAUGAACGCUGGCGGCGCGCCUAAUACAUGCAAGUCGAGCGAGAAGACGUAGCAAUACGUUUGUAAAGCGGCGAACGGGUGAGGAAUACAUGGGUAACCUACCCUCGAGUGGGGAAUAACUAGCCGAAAGGUUAGCUAAUACCGCGUACGCUCCUUGGACUUCGGUUCAGGGAGGAAAGCGAUACCGUGGGUAUCGCGCUCUUGGUUGGGCUCAUGUCCUAUCAGCUUGUUGGUGAGGAACGGCUCACCAAGGCUUCGACGGGUAGCUGGUCUGAGAGGACGAUCAGCCACACUGGCACUGCGACACGGGCCAGACUCCUACGGGAGGCAGCAGUAAGGAAUAUUGCGCAAUGGGCGAAAGCCUGACGCAGCGACGCCGCGUGGGGGA